rnacentral:rRNA from 1 species
AUUGAACGCUGGCGGCAUGCCUUACACAUGCAAGUCGAACGGCAGCACGGGUGCUUGCACCUGGUGGCGAGUGGCGAACGGGUGAGUAAUACAUCGGAGCGUACCUUAUCGUGGGGGAUAACGCAGCGAAAGCUGUGCUAAUACCGCAUACGCCCUGAGGGGGAAAGCGGGGGAUCGAAAGACCUCGCGCGAUUAGAGCGGCCGAUGCCUGAUUAGCUUGUUGGUGGGGUAAAAGCCCACCAAGGCGACGAUCAAUAGCUGGUCUGAGAGGACGAUCAGCCACACUGGGACUGAGACACGGCCCAGACUCCUACGGGAGGCAGCAGUGGGGAAUUUUGGACAAUGGGGGCAACCCUGAUCCAGCAAUGCCGCGUGAGUGAAGAAGGCCUUCGGGUUGUAAAGCUCUUUUGUCAGGGAAGAAACACCGGCUCUAACACAGUCCGGGAAUGACGGUACCUGAAGAAUAAGCACCGGCUAACUACGUGCCAGCAGCCGCGGUAA